rnacentral:rRNA from 1 species
UACAGAGGUCCCAAGCGUUGUUCGGAUUCACUGGGCGUAAAGGGUGCGUAGGUGGUAGAGUAAGUCGGAUGUGAAAGCUCGGAGCUCAACUCCGAAAUGGCAUUGGAAACUACUUUACUAGAGGAUCGGAGGGGGGACUGGAAUUCUCGGUGUAGCAGUGAAAUGCGUAGAUAUCGAGAGGAACACCAGUGGCGAAGGCGAGUCCCUGGACGAUUCCUGACACUGAGGCACGAAAGCUAGGGGAG